rnacentral:rRNA from 1 species
AUUGAACGCUGGCGGCAUGCCUUACACAUGCAAGUCGAACGGCAGCAUGAUCUAGCUUGCUAGAUUGAUGGCGAGUGGCGAACGGGUGAGUAAUACAUCGGAACGUGCCCUGUAGUGGGGGAUAACUAGUCGAAAGAUUAGCUAAUACCGCAUACGACCUGAGGGUGAAAGUGGGGGACCGCAAGGCCUCAUGCUAUAGGAGCGGCCGAUGUCUGAUUAGCUAGUUGGUGAGGUAAAGGCUCACCAAGGCGACGAUCAGUAGCUGGUCUGAGAGGACGAUCAGCCACACUGGGACUGAGACACGGCCCAGACUCCUACGGGAGGCAGCAGUGGGGAAUUUUGGACAAUGGGGGCAACCCUGAUCCAGCAAUGCCGCGUGUGUGAAGAAGGCCUUCGGGUUGUAAAGCACUUUUGUCCGGAAAGAAAUCGCACUUACUAA